AGGGGCACCAGCUCAAGCUGAAGUGAUAGCACCAGAAUUAAAUUUAUUGAAGAACCUGGACAUCUGAGACCCUGCUAGAGGAAACCUGGGAGAUUGACUUUGUCAUGGAAGCUGUUGGAAAAGCUACAGGAAAACAAGAGUCAGCAAAGAUACAGUGAACAUAAGAAUUCCAGAGCUGAGGUCAAUGUGAAUAUCCCUAGACCUGAUCUGUGCACUGCACUAAGCUGUUACAGGGAGCUGUAGAAUCUGGGAGAGUCAAUCCACUGCCCUGGGGAAGCAUUGAAGCUGCCUCAACAACAGUUGACAGGAAGAGAACUGACUGAAGUGAGCUGCAGCACCUGGAGCGCUCAGCUCAGGCUGUGUGUGGAGAGGAAGCAGCUGCAGAGGGUGGUUUGCACCAGGCUGGAUCUGGAAUUCACUCUGGAGCAUCACUCCCACCCCAAAAGCUGCAGAGGGAGCAGAGGAUGAUGAGGUCUCUGAUUUAGGCAGCUGUCUGCAUGUCUUCCUGCUGGCUGCUGCCAAUGUGAAAACCCAGAGGAGAUCCUGUCUUAUCGGAAACACCUGAUCAAAGGGGAGAUUUAACAAAGAAAAACUUGAUUGAAAAGGUCUGGAAUGUUAUAUUUAUUUCACUAUUAUGUGAAAUAAAUAGAAAUAGAAUGACUAGACAGAAAAUGUCUAGGAUGUCUGGGAGCUGACUGGUCCUCCUCUCCCUGAGAAUCUCACCUGGAGGAA